rnacentral:lncRNA from 1 species
CUCACAUGUCCUUAAUUUCGGUGCCAUUGGCAUUGUUGAUGUUGAGCUCCAGGAACAGCUUCCUGAUGUUGUCAGGCAGCGCCAGCAGGAGAAACAACGAGCUCCUUUGUAGCGUUAUCAUGAUGGCCUCGAGGUAGGCGAUAGAGGAGACCUCGUGGGCGUGCUCGUCCAUGACGUGCUCGUAUAGACCCAUGUUCAUGCCGCGGUAGCUGCAGCCGUCGUCGAUGCGUGGGGAAUUCAACUAGUACUCCUAUCAAGCUAAACCCCACUACCUAUUUCUCUCAAUAUACAAGUUGUCCAACUAAGCAUUCAACUAUUACACAUAAUUAAAAAUCCACUAGCCUAUGUAAAGUGUUCACGUCAACAAGUCACUAUAUUUCUUUUAACAUGCAAGCUGUCUAACUAAGAAAUAUAUUAUCACACAACUAAAAUCUACUAGCCAUACAAUUGUAAUGUCCACAUCAGCAAGACACAUAUAAGUAUUUUAUUUAUCCACAUCAUCAUGUCAUGCAAUCUACUGAUCUGCAUUCCUGCAGC